rnacentral:rRNA from 1 species
CAGGUUUACCUGUGUGACUGCGUACCUUUUGUAUAAUGGGUCAGCGACUUAUAUUCUGUAGCAAGGUUAACCGAAUAGGGGAGCCGGAGGGAAACCGAGUCUUAAUUGGGCGUUAAGUUGCAGGGUAUAGACCCGAAACCCGGUGAUCUAGCCAUGGGCAGGUUGAAGGUUGGGUAACACUAACUGGAGGACCGAACCGACUAAUGUUGAAAAAUUAGCGGAUGACCUGUGGCUGGGGGUGAAAGGCCAAUCAAACCGGGAGAUAGCUGGUUCUCCCCGAAAGCUAUUUAGGUAGCGCCUCGUGAAUUCAUCUCCGGGGGUAGAGCACUGUUUCGGCUAGGGGGCCAUCCCGGCUUACCAACCCGAUGCAAACUGCGAAUACCGGAGAAUGUUAUCACGGGAGACACACGGCGGGUGCUAACGUCCGUCGUGAAGAGGGAAACAACCCAGACCGCCAGCUAAGGUCCCAAAGUCAUGGUUAAGUGGGAAACGAUGUGGGAAGGCCCAGACAGCCAGGAUGUUGGCUUAGAAGCAGCCAUCAUUUAAAGAAAGCGUAAUAGCUCACUGGUCGAGUCGGCCUGCGCGGAAGAUGUAACGGGGCUAAACCAUGCACCGAAGCUGCGGCAGCGAACGUAUCACUUAAAGCGAUUCAGCGGGUUACGAUUGACGGAGCGAAGCGACGUCAAAGCGUAUACAAAGUCGAGUCGGUUUAAGGAUACGUUCGUUGGGUAGGGGAGCGUUCUGUAAGCCUGUGAAGGUGGCCUGUGAGGGUUGCUGGAGGUAUCAGAAGUGCGAAUGCUGACAUAAGUAACGAUAAAGCGGGUGAAAAGCCCGCUCGCCGGAAGACCAAGGGUUCCUGUCCAACGUUAAUCGGGGCAGGGUGAGUCGACCCCUAAGGCGAGGCCGAAAGGCGUAGUCGAUGGGAAACGGGU